rnacentral:rRNA from 1 species
AUUGAACGCUGGCGGCAUGCCUUACACAUGCAAGUCGAACGGUAACAGGUCUUCGGAUGCUGACGAGUGGCGAACGGGUGAGUAAUACAUCGGAACGUGCCCGAUCGUGGGGGAUAACGAGGCGAAAGCUUUGCUAAUACCGCAUACGAUCUACGGAUUAAAGCGGGGGAUCUUCGGACCUCGCGCGGACGGUGCGGCCGAUGGCAGAUUAGGUAGUUGGUGGGAUAAAAGCUUACCAAGCCGACGAUCUGUAGCUGGUCUGAGAGGAUGAUCAGCCACACUGGGACUGAGACACGGCCCAGACUCCUACGGGAGGCAGCAGUGGGGAAUUUUGGACAAUGGGCGAAAGCCUGAUCCAGCCAUGCCGCGUGCAGGAUGAAGGCCUUUGGGUUGUAAACUGCUUUUGUACGGAACGAAAAGCCUCUUUCUAAUAAAGAGGGGUCAUGACGGUACCGUAAGAAUAAGCACCGGCUAACUACGUG